rnacentral:rRNA from 1 species
GUCCACGCCGUAAACGAUGGAUACUAGCUGUUGGGUGCAAACUCAGUGGCUAAGCGAAAGUGAUAAGUAUCCCACCUGGGGAGUACGUUCGCAAGAAUGAAACUCAAAGGAAUUGACGGGGGCCCGCACAAGCGGUGGAGCAUGUGGUUUAAUUCGAUGAUACGCGAGGAACCUUACCAAGGCUUAAAUGUAGAUUGACCGGUUUGGAAACAGACUUUUCGCAAGACAAUUUACAAGGUGCUGCAUGGUUGUCGU